rnacentral:SRP_RNA from 1 species
GCCGGACGCGGUGGCGCGCGCCUGUAGUCCCAGCUACUCGGGAGGCUGAGGCAGGAGGAUCACUUGAGUCCAGGAGUUCUGGGCUGUAGUGCGCUAUGCCGAUUGGGUGUCCGCACUAAGUUCAAGUUCGGUAUCAAUAUGGUGACCUCCCGGGAGCGGGGGACCACCAGGUUGCCUAAGGAGGGGUGAACCGGCCCAGGUCGGAAACGGAGCAGGUCAAAACUCCCGUGCUGAUCUGAAUUGGAUCUUGGAAGACAGACUAGAUUUUGAUAAGUGGAGAAAAGACAUUUCAGGUGGAAGAAACAACUAUAUCAAGAU